UGCCAAGGUUUAGGACAGCCAUGCUGAGC
rnacentral:piRNA from 1 species